rnacentral:tRNA from 1 species
GGGUGCGUAGCUCAGCUGGUUAGAGUGCACGGUUCACAUCCGUGAGGUCACAGGUUCAAAUCCUGUCGUGCCCA